rnacentral:misc_RNA from 1 species
UUUCCGUAGGUGAACCUGCGGAAGGAUCAUUAAUGUAACCGGACUGUUCGGGUGCCGUAAAACGCAUCUGUUCGGAAAGGGAGAUAUCAUACACCCUAUGUUUAUUUACUUUGGUUGCUUUGGCGGGCCGUCCUUUUUGGCAUCGGCCCUGGCUGAUCGUGUCCGCCAGAGGACCUAAACUCUUCUAUCAGUGAUGUCUGAGUACUAUAUAAUAGUUAAAACUUUCAACAACGGAUCUCUUGGUUCUG